rnacentral:lncRNA from 1 species
GUUGGUAGUUGAGAGCAGCCUGGAUAUUCUGCAAGUGUUCUACAUUCAUAAUGGAGGCAGCAUUUGAAAGACAAUUUUUUUUCCCUAGAAACAAUUAACAUUUAAAAGGAAUCUCCCCAUGGAUGAAGGGGAAAGGCUGAUCCUUCUCCAGUGGUUCCAUAUAGGCACACCACAAGCUCACAGCUGGCAACCAUUCUACCAUCAGUGUUGAUGCUUCAGCAGCAAGUCUUCCCCAGCUCAAAUCACUUGCCCACGUUUCUUCCUUUGUCUUGCACUGUGCUCUGUGCACAUCCCAUCCCUUCUCAAGUCACCGUGCCUGCAAGCAGAACUUGUGUUAGAUGCCUUUGCUGGGGCCAGGUGGCCUUGACUUGGCUGUCUGUAAGGAACUUCUCAGACUACCACGUUCUGAUGCUGCAAGGUCUGCCUUCGUGUGGGAUGACAACAAGGAGAAGUACAUUUUCUGCAGGUGGAACAGCAGUCCAUCAUGUAUGGAGGAGAUGCCUGCCCAGAAAUGUGUUUUCACCAGAUCAAGAGGCCAUUCUGAAGCAGCAUCUCUUUGUCUACUUGACUAGAGUGAUAUGAAUGUCAUUAACCACUUGCUAGCACUACAAAACCAUAGAGAGGGAGAGCAGAAGGGGAAUCUAUUAAAUCUCCUAAUCUUUUGUUUUAAAAUUUCUAAUUACUAAUGGGGGGAAGGGAAAAAGUAAGAUAAAGGGGAAGGCAGACUUGGAUACUUCUUGGUGUACUUUCUCUUUGGCAAGACCUUCAUCUGAUGUGAGUAAACAUCAUUUCAUUGAUUUUACUGACUUAUAAUGAGAUAAGGAUAGAGCGCUGUAAUCGAUUAAUGCCCUGUGAAGCCCAGUAGCACAGUUUACAUCCUCACUUCUGUUCUGUAUACUUACAGAAUGUGUGUUUGAUUCCUAAACACCACUAAAUGUAAUAAUACUUCUCUCCCUUGCCCUGCUUCUGGGUCAGGUUCUGAUCUCAUCCUGAAAUGAAGUUAAGGAGUUUGUUAACUUCCAUGGAAUUAAGCUCUUUUCACACUGAUACAGCAAACACUAGAAAUUCUGUCUCCUUUUCUUCACUUACACAAACACUGAUAUAAUCCAUACAGGAAUCUGUUGUGUUUUAAUAACUAAUGGAAAAAAAAUUCAAUAACAAUUUAUUUUUGAAUGUAUGUACUGGGUGGAUGCAAUACCAUUUCAAGCAUACUGAGCUACUGCGUACCCUUUUCAAAAAUUCUGUAUGAGCUCAGAUGGAUUUGGAAAGUCUUUAUUACCCUUAACAAUUACCCAUAUUGCAAUUAAAGCUCACAACGUAGGUUUCUUAUUCCCCCAAGAAAACAAUAAGAUUUGCUGUGUAACUUGAGAAGCAUCUAUAAUACUGCAACCCAUGUUGUAAGCUGAUUAUAAAUAAAGUUCAGCACAAUUGCUUCCGUCA